AACGAACGCUGGCGGCAGGCUUAAUACAUGCAAGUCGAACGGGUGUAGCAAUACAUCAGUGGCAGACGGGUGAGUAACACGUGGGAGCCUUCCUAGGGGUACGGAACAACUCAGGGAAACUUGAGCUAAUACCGUAUACGUCCGUGAGGAGAAAGAUUUAUCGCCCUUAGACGGGCCCGCGUCGGAUUAGCUAGUUGGUGGGGUAACGGCCUACCAAGGCGACGAUCCGUAGCUGAUCUUAGAGGAUGAUCAGCCACACUGGGACUGAGACACGGCCCAGACUCCUACGGGAGGCAGCAGUGGGGAAUCUUGGACAAUGGGCGCAAGCCUGAUCCAGCCAUGCCGCGUGAGUGAAGAAGGUCUUCGGAUUGUAAAGCUCUUUUGCCAGGGACGAUAAUGACGGUACCUGGAGAAUAAGCCCCGGCAAACUUCGUGCCAGCCGCCGCGGUAA
rnacentral:rRNA from 1 species